CUCCACUUCAUCUUGGAGCAUGUCAACCUCUGGGUCGUGUCCAGGGUGUCCCAGGAGCGAGCCAGGGCCAUCAGGAGCAGCACAGCCCUGCUGAGAUACACAGUCACCCUCCCUGAGUUUGACGCCUGACCAUACAUGAGGCGGAAGAUCUCUGGUGCUAUGACUGGCACCAGGACAGCAGGCUCUUGGGUUACAAGAAUACAGCCAGAGUGGGGGAGGUCUUUGGAAAAUUCUUCUCCGUC